rnacentral:tRNA from 2 species
UGGGGCGUCGCCAAGCGGUAAGGCACUGGUUUUUGGUAUCAGUAUUCGCAGGUUCGAUCCCUGCCGCCCCAGCCA